rnacentral:rRNA from 1 species
UACCAGCACCCCGAGUGGUCGGGACGUUAUUGGGCCUAAAGCAUCCGUAGCCGGUACUGCAAGUCUUCCGUUAAAUCCACCUGCUCAACAGUUGGGCUGCGGAGGAUACUACAGCGCUAGGAGGCGGGAGAGGCAAGCGGUACUCAGUGGGUAGGGGUAAAAUCCAUUGAUCCAUUGAAGACCACCAGUGGCGAAGGCGGCUGCCAGAACGCGCUCGACGGUGAGGGAUGAAAGCUGGGGGAGCAAACCGG